rnacentral:rRNA from 1 species
GGUACCUACUACUCAGCCUUGAACUAUCAAGUCUCUAAAAGCAAGUUGCACUCGAAGCCAUCAGGCCUAGGGCAUGUCUGCCUAGGCAUCAAGCAUCGCAUCCCCCCUAUAUGCUGCUACUACUCAGAUAAUCGUAGUAAUUCUAGAGCUAGUACGUGCAACAAACCCCAACUUCUGGAAGGGAUGCAUUUAUAAGAUAAAUGGUCGACGCGGGCUCUGCCGUUGCUGCAAUGAUUCAUGAUAACUUGAUAGAUCGCACGACCAUUUUGCCAGCGACGCAUAAUUCGAAUUUUUGCCCUGCGAACUUUCGAUGGUAAGAUAGUGGCCUACCAUGGUGGCGACAGGUGAGGGAGAAUUAGGGUUUGAUUUGGAAGAAGGAGCCUAAGAAACGGCUACCACAUCCGAAGAAGGAAACAGGCAUGCAAAUUACCCAAUCCUGACACGGGGAUGAAGUGACAAUAAAUAACAAUACCAGGCUCUAUGAGUCUGGUAGUUGGAAUAAGUACAAUCUAAAUCCUUUAAUAAGGAUCCAUUGGAGGGCAAGUCUGGUGCUAGCAGUCGCAGUAAUUCCAGCUCCAAUAGCAUAAAUUUAAGUUGUUACAGUUAAAAAGCUCGUAGUUGGACUAUGGGAUGGGUCGCCAGUCUGCCCAAGGUGUGCAUCGAUUGUCUCGUCCCUUCUGUCGGCGAUGUGCUACUAGCCUUAAUUGGCCAGGUCGUGCCUCCGACACUAUUACUUUGAAGAAAUUAGAGUGCUCAAAGCAAACCUAUGCUCUAUAUAUAUUAGCAUGGGAUAACAUUAUAGGAUUUUGGUCCUAUUACAUUGGCCUUCAGGAUUGGAGUAAUGAUUAACAGGGACAGUCGGGGGCAUUAGUAUUUCAUAGUCAGAGGUAAAAUUCUUCGAUUUAUGAAAGAUGAACAACUGCAAAGCAUUUGCCAAGGAUAAUUUCAUUAAUCAAGAACGUAGUCAGAGGUGAAAUUCUUGGAUUUAUGAAAGAUGAACAAUUUCGAAAGCAUUUUCCAAGGAUGUUUUCAUUAAUCAAGAAUGAAAGUUAGGGGCUUGAAGACGAUCAGAUACCGUCCUAGUCUCAACCAUAAAUGAUGUCGACCAGGGAUCGACGGAUGUUGCUUUUAGGGCUCUGCCGGCACCUUAUGAGAAAACAGAGUUUUUGGGUUCCGGUGGGAGUAUGGUCACAAGGCUAAAGCUUAAAGGAAUUAAUGGAAGGGCACCACCAAGAGCGAAGCCUGCGACUUAAUUUGACUCAACACGGGGAAACUUACCAGGUCCAGACAUAGUAAGGAUUGACAGACUGAGAGCUCUUUCUUAAUUCUAUAGGUGGUGUUGGAUGGCCGUUCUUAGUUGGUGAAGUGAUUUGUUUGGUUAAUUUCAUUAACGAACGAGACCUCAGCCUGCUAACUAGAUAUGUGGAGGUAUCCCUUCGUGGCUAGAUUCUUAGAGGGACUAAGGCCUUUUAGGCCACAAAAUUUUGAGGCAAUAACAGGUCUGUGAUGCCCUUAGAUGCUCUGGGCCACACGCGCGCUAUACUGAUGUAUUUAAUGAGUUUAUAGCCUUGGCCGAUAGGCCCGGGUAAUCUUUGAAAUUUCAUUGUGAUAGGGAUAGAUCAUUGUAAUUGUUGGUCUUCAACAAGGAAGUCCUAGUAAGCACGAGUCAUCAGCUCGCAUUGACUACGUCCCUGCCCUUUGUACAUACCACCUGUUACUCUUACAGAUUGAACGAUCCAGUGAAAUGUUUGGAUCGCGGCAAUGUGGGCAGUUCGCUGCCCGCGAUGUCGCGAGAAGUCCAUUGAACCUUAUCAUUUAGAGGAAGGAGAAAUCAUAACAAGGUUUCUGUAGGUGAACCUUCGGAAG